ensembl:lncRNA
AGACCUUUAUAAUCAAUUAGGCCUCAUCCCUUCCCCCCUAUUUUCUUUUCUCUCUUUCUUUUUUUUUUUUUUUUUUUUUUUUUUAAAUUGUUUUCUGAACCUUGUCUGCUUUUAUCACUCCUCGCCAAUCCGGUGCCUUAUUAAUACAGUUUCCUGUACGGCCAAGGGGUUCAUGAGCCCACCGAAGGGAAUUGCAGUUACACAAACAAGGUUUUACUAAACACACUGAGUUCGUCUGAAUGAUCCACUAAUCCGGCUUAUUUUUGUUGGAUUCUUGCAUCCACCGAAAGCUUACCCAUUCAGACGUAACAAAGGUGUGUUAUAUCAGUGUUAAAUCAGUGCUAUAUCACUGAUUUAAUCUAUCAUCUGAGUACUUCUGAUCUUAAUUUGACACUUUUGCUGAACACAACAGUUGUGGGUAUUACUUCUAUUAUUUAUUUGCAAGUCACUUAUCUUUUGAAAGACUAUCUCUUACAAAUAUUCACUUCUGUCCUAUAGUUCUGUAUAAAGACAGGAGUCGGGUGUCUGAAAAUUCAAACUUCCUCCUGAUUCAUACACAGAACUGUGCGUGGCGCAGUGCCAGCUGUGUGUCUCUCUGCACUCAAUUCUACCCUCCUUUAUCCUAUUUACACGCCUUUGCCCUAUUUACAUUUGAAAAAUUUGCGCUACUCGCUUUACACGCGCUAACCGUGCUUGGUCGCGUUACACGCUUAUCCUUUACCUCUAACCCAGAGGGUGAGCACAUCUGGGAUGUAGGCUAAAUUGUAGGUCAAGAGUAGGCUAACGAGCUCAGACACUACUUCGAUUAUCUACUUCAGUUGCUACGCGGAAGGGUCAACCAUGCUCACCCCCCGUUUAGGAACUCUGGUCUGUUACGCAGUCCGUACUAAUCUCUCACUCUUCCCUCUAAACCUAAUGUUUAGGUAGUCAGGUCUAUUAUGCAGACCUACUAAUCUCCCUCCUCCCUCUAAACCUAAUGUUUAGGUAGUCAGGCCUUUUACAGUACCUACUAAUGCUUUUUCUUAUUUAAAACUGACAAUUCACAAAGGCUUUGUGGAUUUGUAUCACUAUCCACCAUCCACUCGCACUUGCUGCUUCCUUCAAGAUCCAAGUUGACAGACAAAAACUAACUAAUCAAUAUUCUAAUCUAUGGACAAUUCAAUGAAAUAGGUUUGUCCUCACCUUAUUUUUCUCGCAGGCCUGCUUUUUGUCUGCCGCCAAAGAUCUUGAAGCCCCACUCUGAGCCUCGGGCUCCAGGUGAGGGUUUGGCUGGUCCACCUCUCCUCAGCUCAGCGUCGGGUCACUAAUUGUUAGAGAUAAAAUACACUGCGUGUUGUUUCGGAGAGGAACCACCAUACGAAGCAAUUUGUUGUAACAAGGUUGAGUUUUACUGGUAGGUAACGACACAAUACAACUUGCCCAACAGACAGUCAAGUACAGUCAAGCAAGCCGGAGAAUGUGAAUUCUAGAGUCUAAACAGAGGAUGCUCCCACUUUUAAGGCCUAAUUCUGUGAUGUCACUUCUGGCCCCCUGCACCUCCCACAUACACUGUCUUCCACUCGGCACUUUGUUAUAACACAUGAUUAACUUCUGCUUUUAAUCUGCUGACAUGUAUGUCUGGACAUUUUUGUCUGUGCCCCAGCCUUGACCACCUAAGAUUUAUAUGCUUCUCUCCUCUUCCGGGCCUUUGUUUUAACUUGCUUUCUCCUGUCUGACUCUUUACAUUUCCCCUGCAGAUGUUACUUGCUGUUUUUCUGACUUGUUGGCAGACUGCCCUUUUCUUGUGAUUAUACUUCAUUGAUACAUUUGGUUAAAUGUGAUAUGAUUAGAUAAAUUUGAUAAUUCAAAUUUAUCUUACACCAUCAUGAUGAAAUUAUGUAGUUAAUUAGGGGUACCAUCAUGAUGAAAUUAUGUAGUUAAUCAGGGGUACCAUCAUGAUGAAAUUAUGAUGUAACCAAACCACACAGUACAGGAGUUCAUGAGAAUUGAGAUGCCCUGCUGGUGUGAUCCUGCCUCCUGCCUGUAGUUCACUAAGCUGGGAACAACAGAGUGGAGAUACAGAGACAAUCCUUAUUUCCCCCAUAUGUGCUCCUGAGUUCUGGCAGCAGAUACACACUCAGGUUACACAGAGCGGAAGUGGUAGUGAACGCACCAUUCCUACUCUACUGAAAUGAGCAGCAGAGACACACUCAGGUUCCACAGAGCUGUGUGGUAGUGAACGCACCACUGCUACUCUGCUGAACAGUAGUGCUGGUGGCCACGCCUCCUCAUUUGGACUAGACCUCUAACGGCUGUGUGGUGUAACACCCUCAGGGUUACGUGUCUGCUGAAGAGUAGUGCUGUGUGGUGUAACACCCUCAGGAUUGCGUGUCUGCUGAAGGGUAUUGCUGUGUGGUGUAACACCCUCAGGGUUACGUGUCUGCUGAAGAGUAGUGCUGUGUGGUGUAAACACCCUGAGUGUUACGUGUCUGCUAAUGAGUAAAGAUCUGGGAGUUUGAGGACUGAAGGCACGGACACAACCAGGCUUUGUUGCUUUGGGAACUUUUUUAUUUCUUUAUUUGCAUUAUAUAUUUAGACUGAUAUCAUUCAGAGAUGACUCAAUGCUAAAAUGUCAUUUAUAAAUGGAUUGCUAUUUUGUUCGUUAUAUACAUAUUGGUAUAUUGUCUGAUUGGUAUAUUGGUACUUCAUUGAUUAUUGAUUGAGGUUUCUAAUGUUUAAUGUGCAAUAAUACAUUUGUAUUGUAUACUGUAUUUUCCUGAGUUACUGCAGCUUUCAAACAGGACUUUGUUGUUUGUAUUUGUUAUUGUCUGUAUUUGUUGUUUAUGUAUUUAAAUAGUUGUUUCUGGUCUCUCUCUGCCAGCACACACACACACACACACACACACACACACACACACACACAUCUUUCUCUAACCAUGUAUAGUGUUGGUCCUGGGUGUUGUGUUGCUCUAGGCAAACACACAUUGCGUACAUGAGAAAGAGCACCUUCAUCUUUUCAUAGUUUAGUUUAAGUUCAAGGCCCUUGGCAGACACUUUUGUCCAAAGUGACUUACAUCAGGGCAAACUGGUACAUACAGGAAGGACAGAACAUGAUGUUAGCCAUAAGUAAGACAUUAAGAUGAUUCUGAUAGUGUGUGUGUGUUUGGAUGUGAUCUGUCAUGUGACUUGAGCUGGCUACAUUAAUUAUGUGACUACUUACCUGUCCAUACUAGUCAUGUGACUACUUGUUAACAUCUAAGAAACAGCCCAAAGGCAGCCAUUUUGACUUGCCCUUAUGAAGGUUCUUAUGACUGAAACACAUAAGCAUGUUUUUUUAUUGUUACUUUGACUAAACAGCCAAGAGAUAUUAAAGGCGUUCUGAACGUAUUACCCUCCUGAGUGCCUCAGAUUUGUUCACCAAUACUCAACUAGUAGGAUCCCCAAACUGAAGACACCAAUCCCCAACACCUUUGUACUCCCAAGCAGCACUCUAUGCACACAGAUUCUCGACUGACUGCCAAAACAUAUUUGGAAAAAAUUGAAUACAAGAGUGAUAUAUAAAGCAUUUUACAUAAAACAGUAGCAUGUGUAUGACAAUCACAUCAGAUUAUAGAAAGAAAAACAUAUUACAAUAACAACAUCAACAACAACAGCAGCAGCAACAACAACAACAACAGCAGCAACAACAACUGUUACACUUGUUGUGGUUCAGGUCAGAAUUGGCUGGCCUGACAUAAACGUUGAUAAUGCUUUAUGUACUGUAUCAUUUGCAGCUAGUUAACAAUGUUGUACCACUCGGUUUUAUUCAAAAUAAGGGAAAUUCACAAAAUAUUUCAACAUAAAUAGAACGCAUCCAAAUCCACAUCUAUUUUUUGUAUUUAACAAUUUAACAGCACACAUUUGCAAUAUACAUGAAAAAAAAAAUCAUCAUGAAAAUCAUUUUACAGCACAAUAACACUUGUUGUGUCUUCGGUCAAAAGUGACUAAAUGUCUCCAUACAUUUAACAUUGGGGC